rnacentral:rRNA from 1 species
GCGAGAAAACUUUGCAAUGUGCGAAAGCACGACAAGGUUAAUCCGAGUGGUUUCUGCUAAAGAAACCUUUUGUCAGUCCUAGAAACACUAACGAAUAAGGGGUGGGCAAGUUCUGGUGUCAGCCGCCGCGGUAAAACCAGCACCUCAAGUGGUCAGGAUGAUUAUUGGGCCUAAAGCAUCCGUAGCUCGUUUUGUAAGUUUUCGGUUAAAUCCAUGCGCUUAACGUAUGGGCUGCCGGGAAUACUGCAUAACUAGGAAGUGGGAGAGGUAGACGGUACUCGGUAGGAAGGGGUAAAAUCCUUUGAUCUAUUGAUGACCACCUGUGGCGAAGGCGGUCUACCAGAACACGUUCGACGGUGAGGGAUGAAAGCUGGGGGAGCAAACCGGAUUAGAUACCCCGGUAGUCCCUGAGCGGGCUGGCAAGGCGCAU